AUGAUCUGGAUCCGCCAAAGACCCGGAAAGGGAUUGGAAUAUGUUGCAGAGAUUGACUAUGAUGGCGACACUUACUACGCGCCGUCGGUGCAGGGAGCGCAGGGAGCAGGGCCCGGCCCCGGCACAGCGUUUGUCCAGGCUCAGAUAAAACCGGCAAUCCUUCAAUCCUGCACGGGGGGAGAGCACAAAGAGCAGGGAGGAGACCCCGAGGGCGGGGGAGCAGGAGUCGGGGUCCAGAGGAAAGAGAAGGAGGAGACGCUGCGAACCCUGCUGGAGUGCGGGGGGGACCUCCAGCCCCCGGGGGGUCCCUGACUCUGCUCUGCCGCGCCUCCGGGUUCAGUUUUGAGGAUUAUGGAAUGUUCUGGUUCCGCCAAAGACACGGAAAGGGACUGGAAUACGUCGCAGGGAUUGACAGUGAUGAAGACACCGCCUACGCGCCCUCAGUCAAGGGCCGGUUCUCGAUCUCCAGGGACAACGGGCAGAGCUCGGUGACGCUGACCAUGAACAACCUCAAGGACGAGGAUUCCGGCGUUUAUUUCUGUGCCAAGAAUGUCUCCCUCAGUUGCCCCAAUGGUCACCACUGA